CCUACGUGUGACAGCAGUGGGGAAUAUUGGGCACUGGGCGCAAGCCUGACCCCGCAACGCCGCGUGAAGGAAGACGGCUUUCGGGUUGUACACUUCUUUUAAGAGGGAAGAGCAGACGCCGGUACCUCUUGAAUAAGCCACGGCUAACUACGUGCCAGCAGCCUCGGUAAUACGUAGGUGGCAAGCGUUGUCCGGAUUUAGUGGGUGGAAAGGUCCUUCAUCCGGGAAGACAAGUCUAGUGUGAAAUCCCGCGGCUCAACCGCGGAACUGCAUUUGAAACUGUCUGUCUUGAGUACCUGAGAGGUCAGCGGAAUUCCGUGGGUAGGGGUGAAAUGCGUAGAUAUAAGGAAGAACACCAGUGGCGAAGGCGGAUGACUGGACGGCAACUGACGGUGAGGCGCGAAAGCGUGGGGAGCAAACAGGAUUAGAUACCCGUGUAGUC
rnacentral:rRNA from 1 species